rnacentral:rRNA from 1 species
AGUUCCCUUCGGGGACGCUAAGACAGGUGGUGCAUGGCUGUCGUCAGCUCGUGUCGUGAGAUGUUGGGUUAAGUCCCGCAACGAGCGCAACCCUUGUUAUUAGUUGCCAGCAUUAAGUUGGGCACUCUAAUGAGACUGCCGGUGACAAACCNGGAGGAAGGUGGGGAUGACGUCAAGUCAUCAUGCCCCUUAUGACCUGGGCUACACACGUGCUACAAUGGGCAGNUACAACGAGAAGCGAA